rnacentral:rRNA from 1 species
UACGUAGGGGGCAAGCGUUGUCCGGAUUUAUUGGGCGUAAAGAGCGUGUAGGCGGCCAGGUAGGUCUGCUGUGAAAACUCGAGGCUUAACCUCGAGAUGUCGGUGGAAACCAUCUGGCUAGAGUCCGGAAGAGGAGAGUGGAAUUCCUGGUGUAGCGGUGAAAUGCGCAGAUAUCGAGAGGAACACCAGUGGCGAAGGCGAGUCCCUGGACAACUCCUGACACUGAGGCACGAAAGCUAGGGGAGCAAACAGGG